UGAUGUGGCUCAGUCGGUAGAGCAGCUGAUUCGUAAUCAGCAGGUCGCCGGUUCAAGUCCGGCCAUCA
rnacentral:tRNA from 2 species